GUUAUGAAUUUCCCUUAGUGGCAUUUCCUCAAACGCGUUAUGCGCCUCGUCACAAAGUCCCGACCCACCUACAGCAGUGCCGAAACAGAGAUUGGCUGUUAGUACCAUGUCGGAACUCUCUAUCAGUAUGCUUGGCAUGGACGGGACGAACUAGGAAACGACGCGGUGAAUAAGUGAGACUUCUUCUGGCGUUUGGUGUCAGAUUUGAUGGCAAGUUAUUGGAAAGCUGGAGGGCUUUUUGAACCUGGUAAAGAUUCUAUUCGGUGAAAUCAAUUUCGCAAAGGCCUCCCUGGCUUGAAGCCGUUUUGCGAGGAAUACUCUUUGAUCAAUGUGACCGCCUUGGAUGCAAAACUCGACUUCUCAUCCCUUUAGCUGUAAGAAGUUUGGGGAGGCAUUCAGCCCCACAGUUUGAAUUUUGAAAGAUGGUUGCUUUGCGAGCUGAUAAAUGAUCAAAUCAUUAGUUUGGGCAGCCUCUUACAUGGAGUGCAAAUUUUUGAAGGAGAUCUUCCCACUGGCUUUGAACGGCUGGAUUUGCCCUAUGCGGUUGAUCACAAGUGAGUAUGGCAUAUGCAAGACAAAGGUGUCUACAGGUGUCUGGAGUUGGGAGAUGCUAUACCGUUGGUGCUCCUCUGCAUGGCUGUCAAUGAGGCCAGCUGAUUUAUCCAAGAAUAUAUUAUGCUGCAAAAGAGAAAUGUUUACCUGAGUAUCAUCUGCAAUGCCAUCUCCUACUGCUCCAAAGCUGUCGACAUUCACUGGCAUCUUUCCUGGUCCACUACUUUUCCAUAAAGGGAAUUCUGAUGCUAAAAGUGGUUCAAAAUCUUCAUCUUCUUCCCUUCCCCAGGGCUGGAUGCUAUUGCUAAAGCUCAGGUCAGCGUCAAAAUCUAUACCAUGAACUCUCACAUAAGCAAGCAUGGCGAUCAGCACAAACAGUAAAGUGAGCAACCGUGAAUCUACUCCCAUCUUUCAGAAUGUUUUAUGUCCUUAAUAAGCAAGAUUGUUGCAAUAAAACAUGUGAACCUCUGAGUUAUAUCUAUUUAAAGAUAAUGUUUGCAAGGGAGGAUCGUGUUUGUAAGCCAGCCACCAUCUACAGUAUUUAGUAAGUUGUAUGGCAGCAGUAAUGGCUUGGCUUGAAAGGUGGAUUAUGGAGGUGGAGGUUGUGAUGGUGGCCAUUGCCUAUUUUUGUUCCUUACUGCGACAAUUUAUCCCAAGUAAACUUGAAGUCCAAGUUGCAGAAUCUGAGUAUGUCGACUCCAUUAAUGGCGGAAGAAUGGGAAUACCGAUCAAUGUUGUUUUGGAUUCAUAGCUACCUGGCAUAGCUACUGCUACUCUUGGUUCCAUGCGAAGGUCUGCACCGAUGAUAUCAUGGAUUCAUGGGUGUUAAAAGUACCGAAGGGUCGAGCUAGCAAAAUUUUUGUAGCUCAACCCAGCCGAUGAUAGAGUUGACCUAUUUUUGCAAUUUAAUAUACUAUAAGAUCGAGUUGAUUCUUGAUUUGUACAUGUGUUGAAGUACACAAUCGAGUUAAUUAAAUAUUUAGAUUUCGUUUUGGGAUAA